CCUACGGGUGGCAGCAGUAAGGAAUCUUCCGCAAUGGGGGCAACCCUGACGGAGCGACACCGCGUGGAGGAUGAAGGUGGUUUCCAUCGUAAACUCCUGUUGUGAGGGACGAAAUUUUUGACGGUACCUCACGAGAAAGCAUCGGCUAAUUCUGUGCCAGCAGCCGCGGUAAGACAGAAGAUGCAAGCGUUACUCGGAAUUACUGGGCGUAAAGCGUCUGUAGGUGUCCUUUCAAGUCUGGUGUAAAAGCACGGAGCUCAACUCCGUGUACGUACCGGAAACUGACAGGAUGGAGUCAUUCAGAGGCAUCUGGAAUGCCGUGUGUAGGGGUAAAAUCCGUUGAUCCACGGUAGAACGCCAAAAGCGAAGGCAGGAUGCUGGGAAUGUACUGACACUGAGAGACGAAAGCGUGGGGAGCAAAAAGGAUUAGAUACCCCUGU
rnacentral:rRNA from 1 species